rnacentral:rRNA from 1 species
GCAGGCCUAACACAUGCAAGUCGAGCGGAAACGAGUUGUCUGAACCUUCGGGGAACGAUAACGGCGUCGAGCGGCGGACGGGUGAGUAAUGCCUGGGAAAUUGCCCUGAUGUGGGGGAUAACCAUUGGAAACGAUGGCUAAUACCGCAUAAUAGCUUCGGCUCAAAGAGGGGGACCUUCGGGCCUCUCGCGUCAGGAUAUGCCCAGGUGGGAUUAGCUAGUUGGUGAGGUAAUGGCUCACCAAGGCGACGAUCCCUAGCUGGUCUGAGAGGAUGAUCAGCCACACUGGAACUGAGACACGGUCCAGACUCCUACGGGAGGCAGCAGUGGGGAAUAUUGCACAAUGGGCGCAAGCCUGAUGCAGCCAUGCCGCGUGUAUGAAGAAGGCCUUCGGGUUGUAAAGUACUUUCAGCAGUGAGGAAGGUGGUAGUGUUAAUAGCACUAUCAUUUGACGUUAGCUGCAGAAGAAGCACCGGCUAACUCCGUGCCAGCAGCCGCGGUAAUACGGAGGGUGCGAGCGUUAAUCGGAAUUACUGGGCGUAAAGCGCAUGCAGGUGGUUCGUUAAGUCAGAUGUGAAAGCCCGGGGCUCAACCUCGGAAUAGCAUUUGAAACUGGCAGACUAGAGUACUGUAGAGGGGGGUAGAAUUUCAGGUGUAGCG